AGGGUGAUCGGCCACAUUGGGACUGAGACACGGCCCAAACUCCUACGGGAGGCAGCAGUGGGAAUAUUGGGCAAUGGAGGAAACUCUGACCCAGCAACGCCGCGUGGAGGAAGAAGGUUUUCGGAUCGUAAACUCCUGUCCUUGGAGACGAGUAGAAGACGGUAUCCAAGGAGGAAGCCCCGGCUAACUACGUGCCAGCAGCCGCGGUAAUACGUAGGGGGCAAGCGUUGUCCGGAAUAAUUGGGCGUAAAGGGCGCGUAGGCGGCUCGGUAAGUCUGGAGUGAAAGUCCUGCUUUUAAGGUGGGAAUUGCUUUGGAUACUGUCGGGCUUGAGUGCAGGAGAGGUUAGUGGAAUUCCCAGUGUAGCGGUGAAAUGCGUAGAGAUUGGGAGGAACACCAGUGGCGAAGGCGACUAACUGGACUGUAACUGACGCUGAGGCGCGAAAGUGUGGGGAGCAAACAGGAUUAGAUACCCUGGUAGUCCACACUGUAAACGAUGAAUGCUAGGUGUAGGGGGUAUCGACCCCUUCUGUGCCGCAGUCAACACAAUAAGCAUUCCGCCUGGGGAGUACGGCCGCAAGGUUGAAACUCAAAGGAAUUGACGGGGGCCCGCACAAGCAGCGGAGCAUGUGGUUUAAUUCGACGCAACGCGAAGAACCUUACCAGGUCUUGACAUCCACUUAAACUUACAGAGAUGUAAGGUGUGCUUGCACAAAGUGAGACAGGUGGUGCAUGGUUGUCGUCAGCUCGUGUCGUGAGAUGUUGGGUUAAGUCCCGCAACGAGCGCAACCCUUAUCUUCAGUUACUAACGCGUAAAGGUGAGGACUCUGAAGAGACUGCCGGGGACAACUCGGAGGAAGGUGGGGACGACGUCAAAUCAUCAUGCCCCUUAUGACCUGGGCUACACACGUGCUACAAUGGCCACGACAGAGAGAAGCGAAAUCGCAAGGUAGAGCGGAACUCAAAAAAGUGGUCCCAGUUCGGAUUGUGGGCUGCAACCCGCCCACAUGAAGUCGGAGUUACUAGUAAUCGCGGAUCAGCAUGCCGCGGUGAAUACGUUCCCGGGCCUUGUACACACCGCCCGUCACACCAUGGGAGUUGGGAGUGCCCAAAGCCGGUGAGGCAACCGCAAGGAGCCAGCCGUCUAAGGCAAGACCAAUGACUGGGGUGAAGUCGAAACAAGGUAGCCGUAUCGGAAGGUGCGGCUG
rnacentral:rRNA from 1 species